GGGGUUGUGGCUCAGCGGUAGAGCGCUGCCUGGCACGUGCGAGGCCCUGGGUUCAAUCCUCAGCACCACA
rnacentral:tRNA from 1 species